CCUCUUGCAGAAAUGACCUUCCCACUAGUUCAUUGAAUAUCUCAAUGCCCAUGACGUGCAAAUCCAUUUCUCUUCUGCAAGAAAUAAAACCAUUUGCCAUCCACAAAGCAACCAACUCCUCCCUCCUCAUCACGUGAUCUUUUGGAAAUAUAGCGCAAUACGCAAAGCAUUGCUUCAAAUGUGGUGAUAGAUUAGUGUAACUCAACCUCAAAGCAGGUAAAAUCUUGCUUGCUUCUUCUCUUAGAUCCCAAAUCUCACUUUCUUUGACAGCUAUCCACUGAUCUUCAUUAUCUUUAAGCCGCAUUAGGUUCCCGAGUGCCUUUAUAGCUAAAGGAACACCACCACACUUCUUCACUAUUGAUACUCCAAUGGCUUCCAGGUGUGCCCGCUCCUCUUUCCUUCUCAUCCCGAAUGCAAGCUGUUGAAACAACUGCCAAGAAUCUUCUUCAGACAAUCUCCCCAUGUGCCUGACAGGAGCUGUUGCCAUUCUAUGAGCAACCAUCUCAAUACGCGUAGUUACUAUGACAGCACUACCUUUAGCUCCACACCUUAAUACCUCCUUCAAUUUAUUCCACCUAUCACCAUAAUCAUCCCACACAUCAUCCAAUACAAGCAAAAACUUCUUUCCAUUUAACUUCUGUUGGAGGCAUCGUUGCAAGGGAUCCAAUUCUUGAAGACCACAAGGAGCACCAUCAAUGGACUCUAUGAUGGCUCUUGUUAAUCUUCCGAGAUCGAAAUCAGUAGAUACACACACCCAGAUCCUCAAACUGAAUUGUUGUUUAACACUUUCUUCAUUGAAGACCAGUUGAACAAGUGUUGUUUUACCCAGCCCCCCCAUCCCCAUUAUAGCAUGAAUAGGGAGAUCACCUGAAGUAGUGAGCAGCAUGUUGAUUAGUUCCUCUUUCUCCUUGCCUCUUCCAUAAAUUUCUGAUUCAUUCACCGAAGACCAAGUCUGACGCUGAACAAAACUAUCUGCUUCCAUCUCCACAGCGCCCUCUGUUAGGUGGAAAUUUUGUCUCUCCUUGGCAAUGGCAUCUAGUUUUUCUCUAACAUUCUUCAAUUUAUGAGCCAUCCUUUGUCGAAAAACAAGUGGAUUAUG